rnacentral:rRNA from 1 species
AUGCUGGAGGUAUCAGAAGUGCGAAUGCUGACAUAAGUAACGAUAAAGCGGGUGAAAAGCCCGCUCGCCGGAAGACCAAGGGUUCCUGUCCAACGUUAAUCGGGGCAGGGUGAGUCGACCCCUAAGGCGAGGCCGAAAGGCGUAGUCGAUGGGAAACAGGUUAAUAUUCCUGUACUUGGUGUUACUGCGAAGGGGGGACGGAGAAGGCUAUGUUGGCCGGGCGACGGUUGUCCCGGUUUAAGCGUGUAGGCUGGUUUUCCAGGCAAAUCCGGUUCACUUUAAAACUGAGGCGUGACGACGAGGCACUACGGUGCUGAAGCAACAAAUGCCCUGCUUCCAGGAAAAGCCUCUAAGCAUCAGGUAACAUCAAAUCGUACCCCAAACCGACACAGGUGGUCAGGUAGAGAAUACCAAGGCGCUUGAGAGAACUCGGGUGAAGGAACUAGGCAAAAUGGUGCCGUAACUUCGGGAGAAGGCACGCUGACAUGUAGGUGAAGUGAUUUACUCACGGAGCUGAAGUCAGUCGAAGAUACCAGCUGGCUGCAACUGUUUAUUAAAAACACAGCACUGUGCAAACACGAAAGUGGACGUAUACGGUGUGACGCCUGCCCGGUGCCGGAAGGUUAAUUGAUGGGGUCAGCGCAAGCGAAGCUCCUGAUCGAAGCCCCGGUAAACGGCGGCCGUAACUAUAACGGUCCUAAGGUAGCGAAAUUCCUUGUCGGGUAAGUUCCGACCUGCACGAAUGGCGUAAUGAUGGCCAGGCUGUCUCCACCCGAGACUCAGUGAAAUUGAACUCGCUGUGAAGAUGCAGUGUACCCGCGGCAAGACGGAAAGACCCCGUGAACCUUUACUAUAGCUUGACACUGAACAUUGAGCCUUGAUGUGUAGGAUAGGUGGGAGGCUUUGAAGCGUGGACGCCAGUCUGCGUGGAGCCGACCUUGAAAUACCACCCUUUAAUGUUUGAUGUUCUAACGUGGACCCGUAAUCCGGGUUGCGGACAGUGUCUGGUGGGUAGUUUGACUGGGGCGGUCUCCUCCUAAAGAGUAACGGAGGAGCACGAAGGUUGGCUAAUCCUGGUCGGACAUCAGGAGGUUAGUGCAAUGGCAUAAGCCAGCUUGACUGCGAGCGUGACGGCGCGAGCAGGUGCGAAAGCAGGUCAUAGUGAUCCGGUGGUUCUGAAUGGAAGGGCCAUCGCUCAACGGAUAAAAGGUACUCCGGGGAUAACAGGCUGAUACCGCCCAAGAGUUCAUAUCGACGGCGGUGUUUGGCACCUCGAUGUCGGCUCAUCACAUCCUGGGGCUGAAGUAGGUCCCAAGGGUAUGGCUGUUCGCCAUUUAAAGUGGUACGCGAGCUGGGUUUAGAACGUCGUGAGACAGUUCGGUCCCUAUCUGCCGUGGGCGCUGGAGAACUGAGGGGGGCUGCUCCUAGUACGAGAGGACCGGAGUGGACGCAUCACUGGUGUUCGGGUUGUCAUGCCAAUGGCACUGCCCGGUAGCUAAAUGCGGAAGAGAUAAGUGCUGAAAGCAUCUAAGCACGAAACUUGCCCCGAGAUGAGUUCUCCCUGAGACUU